GGCACCUCAGUGUGUGUGUGACUUGUGAAAAGAGCGGGUGUGCGCACGACCACUUAAUGUGUCUAGUGAAGGGGUUAGCUUCUAUAGCCCCAACCCAUACCAUGGGAUGAGGGAAGGAAAAUUGCCUCUAAGGACUGUACUACAGAAUUUUAUUAAUCACGUGGAUUGUUUAGAAGGGAAGAGGAACGAGGGAGAUGGUCAAUAUGAGCAGGAGUUCCAGGAACUCAAGCUGCUGACAGAGAGCUUGAAGACCCGACCCGACUACUGUUGUCUAGAAGGCGAGAAAGAUGUUAACAGGCGCAAGAACAGAUAUAAAGACAUCCUACCAUAUGACUAUACGCGUGUGGAGCUGUCCAGCUACCCUGGUGUGCCGGGCAGCGACUACAUCAAUGCUAACUACAUCAGAGGUGCCAGCGGCUCCAGGGCCUACAUUGGCUCUCAGGGGCCGCUGCCUCACACCGUUCCGGACUUCUGGCGGAUGGUGGUGGAGUGCGAGGUCCAAGUCAUCAUUAUGGCCUCCAACGAGACGGAAGGUGGCAAGCACAAGUGUGAAUGUUACUGGGUAAACACACAGAAUGAGGAGAGGCAGUUUGGCAACGUUACAGUGUCGUUUGUGAAGGCCCGACAGGUGUGCCCAGAUUUCAUGGUGCGCACUCUGAAAAUAAAAUACAGCUUUGAUUCCGGCAAGACUGAAGAACGUACAAUCUGCCAGUUCCACUAUGUGCUGUGGCCUGACCAUGGAGUACCAGAGACUGUCCGGCCAUUGCUGGAUAUGGUACGUCUCGUGCGCGACUGUCAAGCCUCGGAAACCUUACCCGUCCUCGUACAUUGUUCAGCAGGCUGUGGGAGAACAGGAACCAUCUGUGCCAUUGAUUAUGUAUGGGGGCUGCUCAGAGCUGGGAGAUUAACAGAAAAUCUAGACUUAUUUGGGCUUGUGAAAGACAUGCGACGACAGCGAGUGGCAAUGGUUCAGACGAGAGAGCAGUACAUUCUUCUGCACAGAGCUGUCAGAGAGUUGUUUAAAGAGCGACUAAAAGUGAUUGAUGCUCAUCCAUACGAGAACAUUGCAACUGAUGGUACACCACUCAUCCUUCGGGAAAAAGAAAGUGAUUAUGAAGAGCUGUAUGUGAAGCCUGAAAAGCAAGAUGAAAGUGCCAAACCAACCCCACCGACAACUGCCCCCAGUGCCGUCUCCACCCCCACAGGUUCACUCACGCGCUACUCCCACACACGGGGAAAUGCAGAUUACCUGGCCUCUAGUUCACCAAUUAACACUCUAGAGCAACCACUGGUUACUGUUCCUCCUCUUCCUAUGAAGUUGUCCAAGCCACUGCCUGCCAGUAUUCAACCUUCUCCAGGACCACACGCUGCACCGGCUCCUCAACCAUCACCAGUCCACAGCCAUUCCUCACCCAUGCCUCUAGCAUCUCCUGUUUCCUUUCCUUCCCCUAGCCAAGCCCAAAUUAGUUAUACAACACCUGUUGCUGCAACUUUCCCAUCAAAUAUUCUGCAGUCCACAUCUAUCUACACCAGUCCCACCUACUCCAGCACCCAGUCAUCAGUAUCACAGUCAAAAUCCAACCAUUUACUUUCUCCUCAUUCAAACACCAGAAUGGGAAUACAUCCCUCCUCAAAGCUAGAAAAGGAUGCAGAAAAUGCUGCCCAUAAAAGGCAAGUUACCCAGCCAUCUUUAUCCUCUCCUAUAACUAGUGGUCCACAAAGAAGCAUAUUGGCAUCUUCGCAGUCAUAUAGCCCUCAUCCUCUAUCAUCUGGCAGUGCAACACCCACACCAAAUACUACUCCAACGCUCCUUCAUGGACUUGGGCUUACCUCUAUACAUGCUCCAGCCAAAAGUAGAACACCAUCUCCAAGGAUUACGUAUAGAAAGCCAUCUGAAAGUCAAACAGAGACCCAAGGAUUUGGCAGUGAAAGUAAUAACUUAGAUGAUAAUGCAGUAAAUAAAAAUGAUGAAAAUGUUCGCAGACCCAGUAUUGCAAAACUUAAGGAACUCUUUGAAAAAAAUGCAGAAGCAGAAACAACAGGUGUAAGAUUGUCACGAAGUGCCAGUAGUGUAACAUCACGAACAAAUCUCAGUGUCCAUCCAGACACAGAAGGAGGAUUUAGAGUGAAACGUAAAAGCAGUCUUGGAGCAGAAGAGACCCUACAGUCAAAGAAGGCAUACGAAAUAAUUGAAAAAUCACGGCAACAGAAUGCCUGCUCGCCUCCACUACAAGAUGCAUCAAAAAUACAAACAGCAUCAACUGCUCCAGUAACUAUUGUGAGUGCUUCUAAGCCACCCUCUAGUCCAGUAUACACCAGUCCUGUCUCUCGUAGAAGAGGAAGUCAUACCAUGAAUGAGUCUCAAGAAGAUGGGUCAACUUCAGCAUUGUUAGCACGAGUAGAUGACAGACCAGCCUUGCCUGUUAAAAAGAGUAAGUCAUUUAGAUAUGCUCGACCUAUUGAUUCUACAACCAACACCAUUGCAUCUACCAGGAGUCCAGAGCUGGCUAGAAAGAAAGCAGAUAUAAAUACAUAUUUCAGUCUUGAUCGAAGUAAGGGAGACACCUCUGCACUUAGCAAGUCUGAAAGUGGAAGUGUAAACUUCAUAGGAGACAUUCCUUCUCCAAGAGAGGGAUUUAAGUUAUCUGUGUAUCAAAUACCAAAUGCUCCAAGUAUGUCCCAGUCGUAUAACUCAAAUGAACAAAAGGCAACUGAAAGUAAGCCUGACACAAAACCGCAGAUACCUCCAAAAAGAAUAAUUGGAGAACGUUUAAAGAGCACGCGACUUCCGGAGUCACUGUUCAUUUCAACACCUCAGUCUUCAUCUUUGUUGCCAACAACACCUACUUCACUCACCUCUCAAACUGUAUCUGCAAUGGUUUCAUCCAUGUUUGAGAAUCCAUUAUUUUGGAAUCGUUGCCAACAAAAUCAAAUGGAUAAAUCCAUUUAUGACUGCCCUAAGGACCUUCAGGCUGCAUCAAGAAAUGAUUAUGAUAAUCUUACUUCUAUGAAAACCAUGACAGCUAUUCCCAGUCAAGUAUCACAGGUUUCUCCUGGAGUUGAUGCUAAAUUAAAUACUAAAAUCUCUGUUCCAUCACCUUCAUCAAUGCCAAAACCAUCACCAACUGCAGAGCUCACUCAAGAAACCACAACUAAUAAAGAAUAUGUAAAUGCUAGAGUAGUUAGAAAUCCCAAAGCUGAUACAAAAGAAGCAACGAGGUAUGUGUAUGUACCUUUACCAUCUAAGAGGGGUUCACGUGGCAACAAACAUCCUCAUGAUUAUGCUAAUUGUCCGCUAAGUGGACAGUCUCAACAUGAGUCUGCUGAAGGGGAAGACCCAUGUGACCUUUAUAUGGAUCCACAAGUUCUAAAGAAAGGAGUUAUAGGCAAGUUUCCUGUGUAUGAUGAGGUUGUACCCUCGUCUCAGUCAAAAAGUGAAGCUUCUCUUUUGAAAUCCAUAUCCAAAGAAAAUAUUCCCCUUUCAUUGUCUGCUCCCACAACUCCUGGGUCAGCUACCACGCCUAUUUCUGCUUCUACUCCAGGAUCUGCAGAUUAUGAAAUGAUGGAUUUUGGUGAAUCUAAUGCAAGUGUAGAUGAAGUUUUUGAAACAGUAAAUUAUGAAUUGCUUGGUACUAAAGAUAGAAGAAAUCAUAAGAGUACUGAUGGUAAAAGAGACUUCUGCUCAAAGAAAGAUCUUGAUCCAAUAGCAAGACAGGUGUAUCAAGACUGUCAAGAUUACCUCCUCCAUGGCAAUAACAAGUCUCCUGUGCCAUCUCUUAUGCCUAAACCUUCAGAGAAAGAUGCUGAUAAGGUCUCUAAAGUAGCAGAAAAUACUGGAAAAUGCAAUAGUGCAUCUCUUGAUACAAGCAUGGAUGUUGAUGAAGUCAAGAGUAAAGUCAAUGUCGCACCCCAGGGAUUACGAACUAGAGAGAGACGAAACAGUUACAGACAAGCAGUGAAUCCAGUUACUCAUAAUGAGUCCAAAACACAUGAUGAGAAACCACGUGCAGGCUUGGAACAUAGUAGAAGUAUUCACAAGUACGAAACUAUUUGGUUUGAAAAUGGAAAGCAUAUGACCAGACGAAAUAAUCCUAGUCCCACCAGCCAACAGAACUUACAUCCUGCCACCAGGUCACCAACAUUUUCCACUGAUAAUGAGGAUUCUUCUAAAUCCAAAGGGAGUGGAAAUGUUCACAUGCCUGUACAACAAUCUGUGAAUGAUGAACAUGGCCCGAACCUAAACUAUAAAUCUAACAUCAAGGAUGCUCUCUUCAGAGAAAAGCUUGAGGAAUUGCAUACUCUUGUAAAUAAUUUGGAACGACAGAAACCACUGCGGUGGAUUGCAGCAUCUCCUGGGUCGGUAGAAGAUGAUGCCAACUCGAAAGAAUCAGGAAGUAGUAAUAGUACCCUACAGUCCCGGUCUACUACGUCAUCUAGAUCCAGCGAGGCCCAAGAACCAAUAUAUGCCAAUACUCAAAUGCUACCCAUUUCCAGGUCACUUUCAUCUAAUAAGGUACAGCAGCUUCCUCCAAGAGCUAUGAGAAAUCUUGAGCCAAAUGAGACAAGAUCACCACCUCCUCUUCGCCACAGCAGAACUGAAGUUAAGCUGGAUAACACAGACUCAAAAUUAGGUGGGCACUCACCACUCAUAAAUGGAAAUUCUAUGUAUGGCACUAUUGCCACAACCACAUUCAGAGGAAAGCAAUCUGGAAAUAAUCCAGCAUCUCCAUCCUUCCAAAAUAUAUCACAGAAUCAGGGUAAACCACCAUCACCAUAUCAUGGUGUAACUUCCACUGCAACACUUCCAGCACGAACUACUAUUUCUCCAACUCCAUACCACAAUAUUCCACCUCCAAAAGGAUUUGGAGGAGGAAUAUCUCCCAGUAAUUCUCCCAAUCCUAAUCAAGCUCUUCAACAGAAUCAGGAAAAUCGUGAAACCCAGGUUUCUUCUCCAUACUACAACAUGGCAGCAUUUACCAGUGGUAGACCAAACCAGACUCAAAGAAAUGUAUCGGGGCAAGAAGAGCGGCAAGGAAUCAAGUCUGGUAUGUCUCCAUAUUCCGACCUCCCUUCCAGUUCAGCCAUAGUGCGGUCACACUUUCCUCCUCACCAGGUUACCAGAGCUCACAUUGUUGGUGACAUUGCUUUUGUUGGUGAAGAAUGGGUACGUUUGAGGAGGCCAGGUGUGGUGCAGCCCCCAAGAACAGACACAAGUGGGUGCAGCAGUAGUGACUCCCGGGGCUCCGAGGGAGCUCCUGUGGCACCUCCAAGAAUUAAAAGAAAUUCUUCAGCUGGAUUGCCACGGCACAGUGCAGUUGAUUCAUCUUCCUUUGCUCAUAAUGACUGGCAUUGUUUAUCGGAUGCUCAAGACAACUACCGGCAAACCAUUCUUACUGCCAAGCAGGAAGGGCUGAAGUAUCACUUCUACUAGUCCGGGUGUGAUGUUUGGCUGGCGCUGGCUAGCAAUCCCUGCUUAUCUUCUUCAUUUACGACAUGAAUACCACACCACUAUGCUCGCGCCAGCCAGUCAGCCCUGUAGGAUUACUAUGAGCUGGACAUUGAGUGACGAAGAGCCCCCACCUGCUGUGCCUGCUAAGACUGCAGCAGCUUACCAAUACCCUGACCCACCACCACCGCCACCGCAUUCUCGCAUCCUCAAUCUGAACCACC
rnacentral:misc_RNA from 1 species